UACCAGCUCUCCGAGUUGUAGGGAUGAUUAUUGGGCUUAAAGCGUCCGUAGCUGGCUUAGCAAGUCUCCUGUUAAAUUCAGCGACCUAAUCGUUGAGCCGCGGGAGAUACUACUAGGCUAGGAGGCGGGAGAGGUCGACGGUACUUUCGGGGUAGGGGUGAAAUCCUAUAAUCCCGGGAGGACCACCAGUGGCGAAGGCUGUCGACUAGAACGCGCUCGACGGUGAGGGACGAAAGCUGGGGAGCGAACCGGAUUAGAUACCCGGGUAGUCCCAGCUGUAAACUAUGCGGGCUAGGUGUUGGGGUGGCUACGGGCCACUUCAGUGCCGCAGGAAAGCCAUUAAGCCCGCCGCCUGGGGAGUACGGCCGCAAGGCUGAAACUUAAAGGAAUUGGCGGGGAGCACCACAAGGCGUGAAGCUUGCGGUUC
rnacentral:rRNA from 1 species